UACAUGGGGUGCAAACGUUGCUCGGAAUUACUGGGAGUAAAGCGCGCGUAGGUGGUUCGUUAAGUUAGAUGUGAAAUCCCCGGGCUCAACCUGGGAACUGCAUUCAAAACUGUCGAGCUAGAGUAUGGUAGAGGGUGGUGGAAUUUCCUGUGUAGCGGUGAAAUGCGUAGAUAUAGGAAGGAACACCAGUGUCGAAGUCGACCACCUGGACUGAUACUGACACUGAGGUUCGAAAGCGUGGGGAGCAAACAGG
rnacentral:rRNA from 1 species